UACAGAGGUCUCAAGCGUUGUUCGGAUUCAUUGGGCGUAAAGGGUGCGUAGGCGGGUCUUUAAGUCAGGGGGUGAAAUCCUGGAGCUCAACUCCAGAACUGCCUUUGAUACUGAAGAUCUUGAGUUCGGGAGAGGUGAGUGGAACUGCGAGUGUAGAGGUGAAAUUCGUAGAUAUUCGCAAGAACACCAGUGGCGAAGGCGGCUCACUGGCCCGGUACUGACGCUGAGGUGCGAAAGCGUGGGGAGCAACAGGGAUUAAGAAACCC
rnacentral:rRNA from 1 species